AGGACGAACGCUGGCGGCGUGCUUAACGCAUGCAAGUCGAGCGGUAAGGCCUUUCGGGGUACACGAGCGGCGAACGGGUGAGUAACACGUGGGUGAUCUGCCCUGCACUCUGGGAUAAGCCUGGGAAACUGGGUCUAAUACCGGAUAUGACCUGCUCUCGCAUGGGGGUGGGUGGAAAGAUUUAUCGGUGCAGGAUGGGCCCGCGGCCUAUCAGCUUGUUGGUGGGUAAUGGCCUACCAAGGCGACGACGGGUAGCCGACCG
rnacentral:rRNA from 1 species